UGAGAAGACAGCUGUCCCUGAAAUUAAAAAAACAGGAUCUCCAUGGACCUAAGUUGUAAGAUCUCUUAGUUGUAAGAGUGAGACUAAUGAAAAAGAUAAAAAAGAAGCUGCUGUGUCCAAAGAACUCAAAAAGCCAACAAAAGCUCCUGCAGCCAAUCCAGCUAUCAAAAAAGCAGCAACACCAGAACCACACAAGAAAGAAAAAGCAAUGGAAUCUG